AGGAUAUUAAAACAGUAUUGAAUCUUCAACUUACAAGCCAUCUGGUCAAAAUUAGGAUCUCGGCUUAUGCCAUUCAAGGCAUAACAUUUCAAGGAGGGAAGAGAAAACAGGCAAACCAGGUGAGGAACCAUGGAUAUAUAAAAGAGGAGGCAGAAGAGAAUAUAAAUCGGUGAACUACGCUACAAGGGUCCACUUUUUUAUGCGAUCAAUAAGGCUUCGUGCAAUGGCUGGGAUAUUGCUUAAAGCUUCAUUUGCUUCAUACUUCAGGAUGUGAACCAAAAAUCGCUUCCUUAGUUGAAAAUCGUCCUAUAUAUGCAUUAUACAACAUUGUUAUAAAAAAACAUGUGCAAAGUGUAUGCAAAUGAACCUGUGUAAAUACUCACCGUGGGUACUGCAAAAUGUAGCAAUCCAUCGUACCAUAAAUGCAUGAACUCAAAAACCAAAUAACCCGAUAGAGCACUGCAUGCAUAUUAUGUUACAUUGCGGGUC